CAGUCACAGAGGAGAAAUAAUUUGCAUGUGGUAUUGUAGCAAGUUGAACACAGUCAUGGUACCUCUUGGCCAGAGAGUAGGCCGACGUCACGGGCAGAGUGCGGGGGAGCUGCAGUGUUGCACGUUUGUUUUCAGUCUGUCUCUGUGUGUUUGCUGGGCAUGGCCUCCUGAUUCCUGCCUCCUGACGAUCCUCCUGAGUGCCAGCAGCUGGGACCUGCACACCUGAACCACAUCUACAAUCAAUCCACUGCAGCAGAAAACCCCUGCUCAGACAUCCAGACUCUGCCAGAUCGGUUCACCACACCAGCCCCAACCAUAACCUGCCACGUCUAGCCUUGUUCUUGUCUUCUGCUUCCGUAUUUGGUCUGCUCUGCCUUCAGCUAAUCUGCCUGCUCUGCUUCACCAGUCCCUGCCCAUCUCAGCCAUCAUUUUAUUCAAGCCUUCAGCUGCGCUUCUUCACACUACA